rnacentral:rRNA from 1 species
GAGCGAACGCUGGCGGCAGGCUUAACACAUGCAAGUCGAGCGCCCGUAGCAAUACGGGAGCGGCAGACGGGUGAGUAACACGUGGGAACGUGCCUUUUGGUUCGGAACAACUGAGGGAAACUUCAGCUAAUACCGGAUAAGCCCUUACGGGGAAAGAUUUAUCGCCAAAAGAUCGGCCCGCGUCUGAUUAGCUAGUUGGUGGGGUAAUGGCCCACCAAGGCUACGAUCAGUAGCUGGUCUGAGAGGAUGAUCAGCCACACUGGGACUGAGACACGGCCCAGACUCCUACGGGAGGCAGCAGUGGGGAAUCUUGGACAAUGGGCGCAAGCCUGAUCCAGCCAUGCCGCGUGAGUGAUGAAGGCCUUAGGUUGUAAAGCUCUUUCAGCGGGGAAGAUAAUGACGGUACCCGCAGAAGAAGCCCCGGCCUAACUUCGUGCCAGCCGCCGCCGUAAC